rnacentral:RNase_MRP_RNA from 1 species
GAUCUGGACAAGAAGCUGCUUCGUAGUAUACAAACGGUUCAAACCAAUAAGCUAUGGGGAAAGUCUCUGAGCAAUUCUCGCCGAAAGGGCGCACGGGAAAUCCGAUGAAAUAUCAAGAUCUAAUCUGUGCGUAGUACAUUUGGAUCUUCAUAUCAUCCAUGCCGUCAUCCAUUCAGUCAAUGCAGCUAAUGAAAAACAUUUACAAAAUAGAGCUUAUCCAUGUACCAGAU